rnacentral:rRNA from 1 species
GACGAACGUUGGCGGCGCGCUUAACACAUGCAAGUCGAACGGAAAGGCCUGCUUUCCCUUGUGGAUUGCGGGUACUCGAGUGGCGAACGGGUGAGUAACACGUGAGUGAUCUGCCCCCAACUUGGGUAUAAGCCUGGGAAACUGGGUCUAAUUCCCGAUAGGACUGCAGGGUGGUGCCUGUGGUGGAAAACGAUUUUCUAGUGGUUGGGGAUGAGCUCGCGGCCUAUCAGCUUGUUGGUGGGGUAAUGGCCUACCAAGGCGGCGACGGGUAGCCGGCCUGGGAGGGUGGACGGGCACAUUGGGACUGGGAAACGGCCCAGACUCCUACGGGAGGCAGCAGUGGGGAAUAUUGCACAAUGGGCGGAAGCCUGAUGCAGCGACGCCGCGUGGGGGAUGACGGCCUUCGGGUUGUAAACUCCUUUCGACCGCGAGGAAGCCACCUGGUUGGAAGGGUGGUGACGGUAGUGGUAGAAGAAGCACCGGCUAACUACGUG